GAAAUAAAUGGGAAGCACUUACUAGAAGGCCCACCCGUAAUUCCAGUCAUGUGGUCUCCAGUCUUCUGGACCCAGGUUGGCAGUUGCUUGGAAGACUUAAAGAAGUUUGAACAGUUGGAAAUGUGUCACAACCAAAUGACAGAAAUGGAGAAAGCUUGCCAAUACCGGAACGCUGAGGCUACUGGGAGACUCAAACCUGGGAAGCCACUCACCCGACAAGACGGAGGAGAUGGCAGCAAAGGCGCUCAGCUUGAGUCCGC